rnacentral:lncRNA from 8 species
AUGGAGACCCUCAGGAGGAUGUCCAGUCUCUGUCUGUUCCUCUGCUUACUGCAGCCUCCUCUACAAGGUCUGGAGAUCGUGGACCCAGAGGAGGUAGAGUAUAUCCGGCAGGAGGCCAGAGGGGUGGUGGGGGGCUCUGUGACUCUGGAAUGUGGAUCCACAAUGCCUGAUAUCCUCAUCUGGGGAUUCACCAGGCCUGGGUCCCAGUCUAACCUAGCUGUGGCUUAUAACUACGGACAUGGUCCCAUGCUCCAGCCUCUACUCUCAAGCAGCCUUGGACAUCUGAAGUUGAUGCCCAACACGUCUUCUCUGCUGUUGGACGAGCUGCACCACGAGGCCCAAGGGAUGUACACCUGUCAGGCCAUCUACAACACGGACCGGGGAGCUACAAUCACCUUCUACUACACUCAGCUAGAGGUGGUGGAGGAGGACUGAGGGAGGGAGGGGGAGAGAGAGAGGGAGAGAGAGAGAGAGAGAGAGAGAGAGAGAGAGAGAGAGAGAGAGAGAG